GCCUUCUUAGUUCAGUGGUUAGAAUUUUUCACUAGUAGUGUCCUGUUCAUUUAGGCUUGCUGUGCAAUGAAAGGGUCACCCGUUCGAUUCGGGUAGAAGGCA